UUCUUCGGAAACUAGAGAGCGGCGUACGGGUGCGUAACACGUGUGCAACCUACCUUUAUCAGGAGGAUAGCCUUUCGAAAGGAAGAUUAAUACUCCAUAAUAUAUUAGAUGGCAUCAUUUAGUAUUGAAAACUCCGGUGGAUAGAGAUGGGCACGCGCAAGAUUAGAUAGUUGGUGAGGUAACGGCUCACCAAGUCAUUGAUCUUUAGGGGUCCUGAGAGGGAGAUCCCCCACACUGGUACUGAGACACGGACCAGACUCCUACGGGAGGCAGCAGUGAGGAAUAUUGGACAAUGGGUGAGAGCCUGAUCCAGCCAUCCCGCGUGAAGGAUGACGGUCCUACGGAUUGUAAACUUCUUUUGUAUAGGGAUAAACCCAGAUACGUGUAUCUGGCUGAAGGUACUAUACGAAUAAGCACCGGCUAACUCCGUGCCAGCAGCCGCGGUAAUACGGAGGGUGCAAGCGUUAUCCGGAUUUAUUGGGUUUAAAGGGUCCGCAGGCGGGCCGAUAAGUCAGUGGUGAAAUCUCAUAGCUUAACUAUGAAACUGCCAUUGAUACUGUCGGUCUUGAGUAAAUUAGAGGUAGCUGGAAUAAGUAGUGUAGCGGUGAAAUGCAUAGAUAUUACUUAGAACACCAAUUGCG
rnacentral:rRNA from 1 species